UACGAAGGGGGCUAGCGUUGCUCGGAAUCACUGGGCGUAAAGCGCACGUAGGCGGAUCUUUAAGUCAGGGGUGAAAUCCCAAGGCUCAACCUUGGAACUGCCUUUGAUACUGGAGAGCUUGAGUCCGGGAGAGGUGAGUGGAACUGCGAGUGUAGAGGUGAAAUUCGUAGAUAUUCGCAAGAACACCAGUGGCGAAGGCGGCUACCUGGAUCGACACUGACACUGAGGCGCGAGAGCGUGGGGAGCAAACAGG
rnacentral:rRNA from 1 species